GGAUCUUCUGGUUGUUUUACAAGUGAGGGUUUGGGUGUGCAUGACAUUCUCCCUUCACACACACACUUUAUGCAUAUCAUGAGUGGGGCCCUAUACCCGGGUCUGAGUGUAGCCUAGAAAUAGAGGGGUUGUGUAGCGGUGCCAUUUGGGACAUACUUCCUGUUUGACUAUCGUGAGAACCCCAUUUAGAGUAUGAUCUCUUCAUUUGUCGCUACGCAUCUAGUUGAUUACUCGACUGUUGUAGAGAUG
rnacentral:lncRNA from 1 species